AGCCCUGGUCCUCCUUGGACACUGUGCACCUCAACGUAGGCAAACAACCUAAGUUGAGGGUGGCUAUUAUAGGGGUGCGUGAUAUAAGUUGGGUAUGAAGAAGGGUAGAAUAGAAGAGAAAGAAUCAAAGAAAAAGAAUAAAAGGUUGGGUGUUGGUGAAAAAGAGCAAGUAAAGAAAAUCUGUUGGAAUAAAGAGAAGUACACCCAUCCUGAAUGUGUGAUCAAGAAAAGAAAAAGAGAGAAAAAGAGGUUAAUAAGUGGACCCCACAA
rnacentral:lncRNA from 1 species